CCUGGAGGGUGAGCAAGGGAGAUGCAGAGCCCCAACCUCUGGACCCUCAUUCUUGACCUUUCAGUGGGUUUGGAUUAAGAGAAUCCUGUCCACCAGCACAGCACUGCAUCCUUGGGACUGACUUUUCAUACAAAGCUGGUGGAAGUUCAUGAGGGACGCUGGCUCCGGUAUCAUGGUGAACGCCAAGGUGAAGAGCAGCCGCAUGAGAUCCCAAAGGAAAGCCCGGGAGUCACACAAGUGGAGUACAGCAGCAAACCCCCUCCACCGCCUGCCCUUGGCUUUGGUCUUGCCAGGGAACAGCUGAUGCCGACUAGAUGACGCAACCAGGAAGUGAAUAUCCUGUCUGCUCCUUGUUCUGUGCUGUCUGUGUGUCCUAGCUUGCCAUCCCAAAUCAAGGCAUCCCUUGAAAUCCCCUGGGUCCAAGCAUCCAGAUGCUCAGUGAACGCAGUGCUCUAACUCCAUCUUCCACUUUCCAUUAAGAAGUCAAUGACUCUUAUUCAAUACAACUCCAUCUUCUGCUAACCCCUAAAAGGAAUUUACAUUCUGCUCAUUUCACUUCCCAUUAUAUUGUAUUAAUUUUCCCAUCAUUAAACCUUUUA
rnacentral:lncRNA from 10 species